rnacentral:misc_RNA from 1 species
AAGUCGUAACAAGGUUUAUCCUUCAUUGAAGCCUUGAAACUCAGUCACAGUUCAGUGGGUUUGUCCUGUAUGGUCAUCCUCAUCGACAGUUGGCAACACCGUUCCUGUGCUUGGAUGCCGCAAAGGCAACCAGCAGCUUUGUCAAACAAAGUCCACAGAUCAAACAACGGUGGUCAUGGUUCGCAACCCCAUUAACGGAAGCGAGUCGUGAUUAAGAUAUGACCGGCCCACUCUUGAAAAAGAGUUGGACUCUGCGUUCCGUAGGUGAACCUGCGGAAGGAUCAUUAAUGAGAACUUGCCCUUCGGGGUAGAUCUCCCCACCCUAUGUUUACAUUACCUUUGUUGCUUUGGCAGGCCCGUCUUCGGACCACCGGCUUCGGCUGGUCAGUGCUUGCCAGAGGAUCUCAAACUCUAUAUUUUAUGUUGUCUGAGUAUUAUUUUAAUAAGUUAAAA